rnacentral:rRNA from 1 species
AGCAAACGCUGGCGGCGUGCCUAGUACAUGCAAGUCGAACGGGGAAAGUAGCAAUAUGAGUACUAGUGGCGCACGGGUGAGGAGCGCGUGGGUAAUCUGCCUUCGAGCGGGGGAUCACUAGUCGAAAGAUUAGCUAAUACCGCAUAAGACCACAAGAUCUGCGGAUCUAGGGUUCAAAGCAGCAAUGCACUUGAAGAUGAGCCCGCGUAAGAUUAGCUAGUUGGUGAGGUAACGGCUCACCAAGCCGAUGAUCUUUAGCUGGUCUGAGAGGAUGAUCAGCCACACUGGAACUGAGACACGGUCCAGACUCCUACGGGAGGCAGCAGUAGGGAAUAUUGCGCAAUGGGGGCAACCCUGACGCAGCGACGCCGCGUGAGUGAUGAAGGCCUUCGGGUCGUAAAGCUCUGUUAUAUGGGAAUAAGUUCUGACUGUACCAUGUGAGUAAGGAUCGGCUAACUUCGUGCCAGCCGCCGCAGUAA